rnacentral:rRNA from 1 species
UUGCACGCUGGCGGCAGGCCUCACCCAUGCAGGUCGAGCGGAUGAAGGGAGCUUGCUCCUGGAUUCAGCGGCGGACGGGUGAGUAAUGCCUAGGAAUCUGCCUGGUAGUGGGGGAUAACGUCCGGAAACGGGCGCUAAUACCGCAUACGUCCUGAGGGAGAAAGUGGGGGAUCUUCGGACCUCACGCUAUCAGAUGAGCCUAGGUCGGAUUAGCUAGUUGGUGGGGUAAAGGCCUACCAAGGCGACGAUCCGUAACUGGUCUGAGAGGAUGAUCAGUCACACUGGAACUGAGACACGGUCCAGACUCCUACGGGAGGCAGCAGUGGGGAAUAUUGGACAAUGGGCGAAAGCCUGAUCCAGCCAUGCCGCGUGUGUGAAGAAGGUCUUCGGAUUGUAAAGCACUUUAAGUUGGGAGGAAGGGCAGUAAGUUAAUACCUUGCUGUUUUGACGUUACCAACAGAAUAAGCACCGGCUAACUUCGUG